rnacentral:rRNA from 1 species
AGUAACGCGUAGGAACCUGUCGCACAGAGGGGAUAACGCUGGGAAACCGGCGCUAAUACCGCAUGUGGCUCUUGGAGGGGACUUCAAGAAAGAAAGCAGCAAUGCGCUGUGUGAGGGGCCUGCGUCCGAUUAGCUAGUUGGUGGGGUAAAGGCCUACCAAGGCAUCGAUCGGUAGCUGGUCUGAGAGGACGGUCAGCCACACUGGGACUGAGAUACGGCCCAG